UACGUAGGGUGCGAGCGUUGUCCGGAAUUACUGGGCGUAAAGAGCUCGUAGGUGGUUUGUCGCGUUGUUCGUGAAAUCUCACGGCUUAACUGUGAGCGUGCGGGCGAUACGGGCAGACUGGAGUACUGCAGGGGAGACUGGAAUUCCUGGUGUAGCGGUGGAAUGCGCAGAUAUCAGGAGGAACACCGGUGGCGAAGGCGGGUCUCUGGGCCGAUACUGACGCUGAGGAGCGAAAGCGUGGGGGAGCGAACAGG
rnacentral:rRNA from 1 species